GGGGAAUGUUGCUGUCUAAAGGAAGAAGGCAUUUCUUAAGAUACCUGGGAGUGAGGCAUACUUCCUAAGUCUUGAUUAGGCUGAAGUGUUCUGGACUUUAUUAUGUUUUUUUCUUUUUCUUUUGUUAUAUAUCCAGAAAAGAAUGUGUUCAGUGAGUGCAGCUGCAAAACCAUUCUCACCAGUUUGAAGACUAUAUUUGGCUGUUGGACAGAACAGAGAGUAUGAUUUGUUCCUUGAAAGAAAAUGUACUGUAGAUUUAAGAGAAGAGACCUGACUUAAUGUGAGACAGUAUUGGGAGAAGAUGACCUAUAAGAGAUGAAGAUGGAGGUGCAUCACCAAGGAGACCAAAACACUACAAAUACCGGUCAGCUAUUGGAAGUAAGUGCAACUGUGCAUGCUUCACCAAGAGGGCCAGUGGUGAUUGGCUGCAGGGGUUCUGCCUCCUUAGGCAGGGAAGGAGACCCUGCCACCUCAGGAAGAAGUCAGAGGUACACAAGAGGAUGAGGAGGGAAUCUGCCGCUACCUCCACCACUGCCUAGGUGAAGGGAAGCCCCACUGCUCCAUGGGAGGAGGUGGAGGUGAAGGUGGAGGCAGGCAGGCUGGAGGGAAGGAGCCACUGCCACUGCUGCCACUACCUCUGGCAGAGGGAAGACCUGAUGCUCCACAGGAGGAGGUGGAGGCAGGCAGGUGGUUGGGGGGGAGGGAGCUGCCACCACUGCCUCAGGUGGAGGGAAGCCCUGUUGCUCCAUGGGAGGAGGCAGAGGCGGAGGCGGUCAGCGGGGAGGGAACUACUGCUUCCUAUGCCUCAGGUGGAGGGAAGCCCCGCUGC